UGCCUUCUGUAUCCGUGCUGAGAUUUCAUCACACACCAGACCACAAGGGCUGAUGAGACUACCAAGAUAAGUGAAGCA
rnacentral:pre_miRNA from 1 species